CCAACCUACAGAAUGGCAUCAUCUAUAGUUAAGAUGUAUCUUUCCACAUAAUCCCACAGAGAUACUCAGAGGCUGGAUUCGUAGGUGAUUCUGGAUCCUGUCAAGUUGACAAUCAGUAUUAUCCCUUUUGAAUCGACAUAGAAAAUGUUCUUUAACCUCUAAAAAAGGUCAUGAAGACUUGAUGGCCAGAUAAGUGAAUGUUGAUAGAAAAACUCAAUUCUUUUCUUUCCUUUGUUUUUUUCCCUCUCUGGUGCAUUGAUGAAUUUUUCAGAGACUUGCUGGCUAUGUGUAAGAUGAUGACAAGAAAUAAAGUUCCCCUUUAAGAAGCA